rnacentral:rRNA from 1 species
UACGGAGGGUGCAAGCGUUAUCCGGAUUUACUGGGUUUAAAGGGUGCGUAGGUGGAUAAGAAAGUCAGUGGUGAAAUCUCCGGGCUCGAACCCCGGAACUGCAUUCGAUACUGCCUGGCUAGAGUACUGGAGAGGAGAUUGGAAUUUACGGUGUAGCAGUGAAAUGCGUAGAUAUCGUAAGGAAGACCAGUGGCGAAGGCGGAUCUCUGGACAGUUACUGACACUGAGGCACGAAGGCCAGGGGAGCAAACGGG